rnacentral:tRNA from 1 species
GCCGCUUAGCUUAAUGGUACAAAGCACUCAGCCGGUAUCCGAGAAGUUCGAGGUUCGGUUCCCCGCAGCAGCA